GAUGAACGCUAGCGGGAGGCCUAACACAUGCAAGCCGAGCGGUAGAGUUUCUUCGGAAACUUGAGAGCGGCGCACGGGUGCGUAACACGUGUGCAACCUACCUUUAUCUGGGGGAUAGCCUUUCGAAAGGAAGAUUAAUACCCCAUAAUAUAAUGAUUGGCAUCAAUUAUUAUUGAAAACUCCGGUGGAUAGAGAUGGGCACGCGCAAGAUUAGAUAGUUGGUGAGGUAACGGCUCACCAAGUCAAUGAUCUUUAGGGGUCCUGAGAGGGAGAUCCCCCACACUGGUACUGAGACACGGACCAGACUCCUACGGGAGGCAGCAGUGAGGAAUAUUGGACAAUGGGUGAGAGCCUGAUCCAGCCAUCCCGCGUGAAGGAUGACGGUCCUAUGGAUUGUAAACUUCUUUUGUACGGGGAUAAACCUACCCUCGUGAGGGUAGCUGAAGGUACUGUACGAAUAAGCACCGGCUAACUCCGUG
rnacentral:rRNA from 1 species